GCUGUGCCUGUAGUCCCAGCUACUCGGGAGGCUGAGGUGGGAGGAUCACUUGAGCCCAGGAGUUCUGGGCUGUAGUGCGCUGUGUCAACCAGGUGUCCACACUAAGUUCGGCAUCAAUAUGGUGACCUCCCGGGAGUGGAGGACCAACAGGUUGCCUAAGGAGGGGUGAACCGGCCCAGGUCAGGAACAGAGCAGGUCAACACUCUUGUGCUGAUCAGUAGUGGAAUCAGGCCUGUGAAUAGCCACUGCACUCCAGCCUGGGCAACACAGCGAGACUCCAUCUCU
rnacentral:SRP_RNA from 1 species